rnacentral:rRNA from 1 species
GAUCAUGGCUCAGGAUGAACGCUAGCGGCAGGCUUAACACAUGCAAGUCGAGGGGCAGCGGGAUGUAGCAAUACAUUGCCGGCGACCGGCGGAUGGGUGCGUAACGCGUAUGCAACCUACCUUAUACAGGGGAAUAACCUUUCGAAAGGGAGACUAACACCCCAUGGUAUUGAUUUAAGGCAUCUUAGAUUAAUUAAAUAUUUAUAGGUAUAAGAUGGGCAUGCGUAUGAUUAGCUAGUUGGUAAGGUAACGGCUUACCAAGGCGACGAUCAUUAGGGGUUCUGAGAGGAAGGUCCCCCCACACUGGUACUGAGACACGGACCAGACUCCUACGGGAGGCAGCAGUGAGGAAUAUUGGUCAAUGGGCGCAAGCCUGAACCAGCCAUGCCGCGUGCAGGAAAGACGGCCUUAUGGGUUGUAAACUGCUUUUACAUAAGACUAACCGUAUAUUUGCGAAUAUACCUGAAUGUAUUAUGAGAAUAAGGAUCGGCUAACUCCGUGCCAGCAGCCGC